ACAUAAAAAGAGAAGAGAAAACGAAAAAGGAAAAAACAAAACAAAUAAACAAAAACAAAUCCAAUCACCAGCUUUUACAAUUCUCGUUUUUUUUAUUCCUU
rnacentral:ribozyme from 14 species